AACGAACGCUGGCGGCGUGGAUAAGACAUGCAAGUCGAACGAAGAAUAUUCGGUAGCAAUACUGGGUAUUUUUAGUGGCGAAAGGGUGCGUAACACGUGGGUAAUCUACCGUAAAGUUCGGAAUAACUUCGAGAAAUCAAAGCUAAUACCGAAUGUGAUCUGACAGGGACAUCCCUGUUCCAUUAAAGCUAGGGACCUUCGGGCCUGGCGCUUUACGAUGAGCCCGCGCCCUAUCAGCUUGUUGGUGAGGUAAAAGCUCACCAAGGCUAAGACGGGUAGCCGGUCUGAGAGGACGAUCGGCCACACUGGAACUGAGACACGGUCCAGACACCUACGGGUGGCAGCAGUCGAGAAUCAUUCACAAUGGGGGAAACCCUGAUGGUGCGACGCCGCGUGGGGGAUGAAGGUCUUCGGAUUGUAAACCCCUGUCAUUUGUGAACAAACCUUUUGGUUUAAUAGAUCAAAAGCUGAUAGUAGCAAAAGAGGAAGGGACGGCUAACUCCGUGCCAGCAGCCGCGGUAAUACGGAGGUCCCAAGCGUUGUUCGGAUUUACUGGGCGUAAAGGGUGCGUAGGUGGCCAGGAAAGUUUGAUGUGAAAGCUCCGAGCUCAACUCGGAAAAUGCAUUGAAUACUACUUGGCUUGAGGAUCGGAGGGGAGACUGGAAUUCUCGGUGUAGCAGUGAAAUGCGUAGAUAUCGAGAGGAACACCAGUGGCGAAGGCGAGUCUCUGGACGAUUCCUGACACUGAGGCACGAAAGCUAGGGGAGCAAACAGGAUUAGAUACCCUGGUAGUCCUAGCCGUAAACGGUGCACACUUGCUGUAGGAGGAUUCGACCCCUUCUGUGGCGGAGCAAACGCGUUAAGUGUGCCGCCUGGGGAGUACGGUCGCAAGAUUAAAACUCAAAGAAAUUGACGGGGGCCUGCACAAGCGGUGGAGUAUGUGGCUUAAUUCGAUGCAACGCGAAGAACCUUACCUGGCCUUGACAUGCAUCUCUAAGCG
rnacentral:rRNA from 1 species